rnacentral:lncRNA from 1 species
GAUUUUCUCGCACAGAUAUAGAGAGAGUUUAUUUAAGAAUAUUACUGAGAGAGAAAGAGAAAAAAAGAGAGCAAAGUAUGUCAGCUUUCUCUCUGGCUCUGAUCUGAUAAUAUAAGCAACUGUCUUUUUCUAUAUCUUGCAAUGAAUUGAAGAUCAAUCGAGGAUCGAUGCUGAAGCUUGAUACAGUAACAUUAUUACUGCUUUCUAGGGUUUAAUUUAUAUUCUUUUUAUGGUAUCAUUUGUAAGUUCUCUUAUAUAAUGCCUAGAGAAAGAUUAUGGCAUGUAGCUGGAUGUGACAAUUCAAUCAUUUACAAAUAAUUUUCUUCUGGGUUUACAGAAUUCUACCCUAGCUAGCUACUUUAUUUAGUUAUUGUGAUCUUGAUCAUC